rnacentral:rRNA from 1 species
GAUGAACGCUGGCGGCGUGCCUAAUACAUGCAAGUCGAGCGAACGGACGAGAAGCUUGCUUCUCUGAUGUUAGCGGCGGAAGGGUGAGUAACACGUGGAUAACCUACCUAUAAGACUGGGAUAACUUCGGGAAACCGUAGCUAAUACCGGAUAAUAUUUUGAACCGCAUGGUUCAAAAGUGAAAGACGGUCUUGCUGUCACUUAUAGAUGGAUCCGCGCUGCAUUAGCUAGUUGGUAAGGUAACGGCUUACCAAGGCAACGAUGCAUAGCCGACCUGAGAGGGUGAUCGGCCACACUGGAACUGAGACACGGUCCAGACUCCUACGGGAGGCAGCAGUAGGGAAUCUUCCGCAAUGGGCGAAAGCCUGACGGAGCAACGCCGCGUGAGUGAUGAAGGUCUUCGGAUCGUAAAACUCUGUUAUUAGGGAAGAACAUAUGUGUAAGUAACUGUGCACAUCUUGACGGUACCUAAUCAGAAAGCCACGGCUAACUACGUG